UGGUGGAGUGAUUUGUCUGGUUGAUUCCGUUAACGAACGAGACCUCGACCUGCUAAAUAGUGUGCCAAAGUCCUCGGACUUUGUUUGUACAGCUUCUUAGAGGGACUAUCGGUGAUUAGCCGAUGGAAGUUCGAGGCAAUAACA
rnacentral:rRNA from 1 species